rnacentral:misc_RNA from 1 species
GCCCGAGUGCAGGAUUAGUGUCUGCAACAAGGCACGACAAAGAACACCAAUAAACCUACCUCCUUCGCAUCUUUUUGGGGGAUUGGAUGGGAUAGAACAUAUGCUGAAAUAUUUAAAACUACCAUGUUCACAAGUGUAAUUCCAAACAAUGAACAAUAAACCUACCUCCUUCGCAUGCAACAAUCCUGCCUUCAACCUUGAUGGGGGGAAUUUCAUUGAUCAACUCCAUUGGAGAUUUCUUGCUAGCAUCCUACAAAUAAAAAGAAACUCUUGGUUAUUUGAGUUUUCACUUUGUUAAUGCAGACCUCCAAUUUAAGAAGUAGAAGAAAAACACAGCAAAAAUAAACUUACAGGUAAAACUAUUCAAUCAGCAUAGCAACCAUACUACUGGCCUAGAGAUGGCGUGAAGAGUUAAAGAAAUAACUGCUAUAGCAAUGAAAGUCCAUGAUGUCAUAGGAAUGAACCACAACAUCAAGCAAUCUCUCAAUUAAGUACUAGUAACUUCAAACACAAGGGGAGAAAAGGGAAAAUAGAAUCCAUAAGGUAUUAAUGAUUCUAUAAAGAAGUCGGUAAUGAUCAUCAUCUGAAAAAACAGUAUGGAAUGAAGUUCAUUAGUUUAGAAUAAAUCAAAUCACAAUCUAAAACUGCAACUGUAAGGUUUGUUCUUCCAUAGUCAAAAUCACCUUAAACUAGAUAAUAAUUUUACUAACAUAAAUGCAUGCCAUUAUAAAGUCACUUUUUCAAAGCAUUAUAUUUAUCUUAAAAUCCUGUAACCAAAGCUCAUAAUUUCAUGCUGAUUUGACAUUAUUAAUUAAGGGUGUAAAUGACUCAAUCUACUUGUAAGCUAUUCAGAUUUGAGUUGCUAUUAAAAGUUGAUUUUUCAAUCAAGUUAAGCCAGAACUUGAGUAUUUGAAUUCAUUAUAUUUAUGAUUUUACCCAAAUCAGAUUAAAAGAAAACACCGAUUCAAGCUCUUGCAAGUUUAUUCAAGCUUAAAUUCAAAUUUAGUAACAAGCUUGCUUGAGUUUAUAAUGCAUAUUGAGUUGACUAAAUUUAAGUAUUUCAACUAUUUCACAAAGUCCAUUAUUGACUAUGAAAGUAAAGACUCAAUCAAGAUAGCAAUUUCAUCCGCUGAUAUAAGAAAAACAAGGAUGCUAAGCUAAAAUUCACACACUGGCAUUCACCAAUCUCCAACACUCAUAGGAACAGUUAUAUGACAACUUAUCUCCUCUUAAUUAAAAGACACAGAGAUUUCUAACGGUUUUAUGCAAAGAACAAUGGUAAUUGAAUGCACAUGUUCAAUAUUGGAAAUUCAGAAACACAGGCAAAUAUAACCAUGUCCAAGCAUGUAUAUGUUUGGAAGUUGCUAAGUCAAACACCAUGAAUCAACAUUGAAAUGAGAAACAUGUCCAUAUCCAAUAAGACCUACCAUCUUACAUUGCUUCAUCUAUAUCCUUAGACCAUGUGUGACGGAACUAAAGUUGGUAUGUAAAUGGCCUCCACAAAAUGGCAAGAUACAAACCUAAAGGCACAUAACCAACUCCACACAAUUCCUAUAACCGUCAAGCUAAAACCACGUGCAUAGUAAAUAUCUAUAAUGAUAAAAUUGGAAAAGAAGAAUGCAUUUAAGACUCCAGUAUGCAGAUGUUUGCUAAAUCCCAGUUUCUAGGAGUUGUUUCCUAUGUCCAAGAAAUAGCAAUCUUUUCCCUUGGCAAAAUACAUCUAUAAUACUCAUAUUUUGUUGAAGCGCUGAACGGUUUGCCAUGACAUACAAGACUUAUAUAUGAUCAAUUAGUAUGUAAUCAGUUUGACCUGUAUGGAACUUGAGAAAACAAAACAAAAUUGUUUGCGGUUGAAUAGAUAGAAAUGAAAAGCUGUGAUUAUUGACAAAGAAUUUCAAUGAUUGUUUCAAAUUCACGGUAGAAUUGUAUGCUUGAUCUAAAUGCAAAUGAAGAAACUAAAAGAUAACUAAGUUUUUUCAAAUCAUGUUGAACUGAAUCUUCUGCAGCUUUGUAAAUGACAGUGAACAUCUUUAGCACUUGGCACCGAAAAUUUACUAGUUAUCAUCGAAUCCAGUAAGCUUGAUGGAUCAAAUCCCUUGCUUGUCUAAUAGUUUAAAAUUUUUAUGUGAAUCCAAGUAAUUU